UAGACGCUGUCUCUUUAGAUGCGAGGGCAAAAUAGCACUUUAUGGACUUCCACAGAGGACAUCAUGUUUAAUACGGUUCCGGAAAAAUCCAGUCAGAAGUUGUUCACGGAGUUUUCACAAUAACUGCUUCUCAUGAACCGAAGCUGGAUUUGCGCGACGUCUCCUCCUGAAAGUUGGAUUACUGUGCACUUCUGGAUCACAGGCUAUUCGCAGCUGGACACAUCCUUCUACACUGUAUGCAAACAUGCAACAUCAUUACACACAGUACAAGGAGUCAGACUGGCAUAUGAGGAGCAAAUGUUGUACCUUGCAGCCAUCCAUUACAAUGUCACCAAGCCAUAACAAAAGCAGGAGAGGGAAAGUACAAGGCUGUGUUCCCAAAACACACAAGUGACAUACCUUAUGUGGAGGAUGUGAUCAGGCUUGUGUUUGAUGAGGUAUUUGAAGAUAAGCUGAAGGAAACCCCGAUUCCAAUGGACCUGGCAUCACAGUUUGAGAGACCUUCAAAGGAGGACGUGAUUGCAUGCCAUCUUCAGUGCAGGGGUCGUCGAAAGCCAAAAUUGUGACCAAUCUGAUCAGGAAGCUCCAAGCAUAUCUGGAGAACAACACACGACAGGAUGAUAACCUUAUAGUGUCGUCUUAAAUAGCACCAGCUGACAAAGCUUUGAUAUGCCAUUUAUCUGAAUAGAUAGCUGCAAGAAAUGAAUUGAACAAUU